GAGAGGUUUAACUCUUUGCAAGGAAACACAAGGGAGAGGGGAAGCCGCCUGCAAGGAGAGGGGAUCUCUGCAAUCAGACCCAGUUGGACCCUGUCAUUAGAGGAAAAGCUCUGGGGAAAGAUGGCUCUGGAAAAAAGGUUCAGGGCUCUGCUCGUGGGUUUUCCUCCUCCACAGCUUGGUUUCUCCAUCAGUGAGGCCUGGCACUGGGAAAGCUUUGAGGUCAUCUGCAUUGCGUUCUGCACCUGCAUGCUCUCCUGCAGCAGCAGUGACAACAGCGUGCCUGGCCUGCACCCCCCGCAUGGGAACAGUCAGGCAUGGCGUGGGCAUUGCCGAAGUCUCUGCGGUGUCAGGAUGGGAGAGAAGAUAAAGUCGAAACAGGGAAGCAGUUGCAGUCCAGGUGCCAAGCGGACGUUGCACAACCAGCCAUGGGAAGAAAGGCUCAAGGCUGUGACUUUGCUGGCUUCUGCACCCCAAGCAAGAAGAGGUCUGGGAACCGGAUUGGGCUCCAAAUGAUGAAAGUCCAGAGGACUUCAGAGAAAUGUGGCGUUCUCCACUCUGCCCCUCUGCAGACCCGUCUGGAGAUGUGACGCGGCCAGGGCUGCCGCUGGUGUCACCGGAUUUCUUGCCCUUCCCCAUGAGCGAUCCCACUUCCUCUCGCCCACGCAGUCCGCAGAGAAACACGAAGAGGAAAAGAAGCGAGGAAAUGCCCCGCUUUGGGGCCAAGGCAACACCACCACCAAGGCCAAUUCUCUCCCAAACCUUAGAAAGCCUCAGCGAUGGCGAGGGCCCCGCUGCCGGCGGCUGCAGCUGGAGCCAGCAGGUGCCCAGCCAGCUGUGGGAAGCGACGGAGCAGGCGCUGCUGCCGCUUCGCCGGACCUGCUCACCACGACGGGGCCAGGCG
rnacentral:lncRNA from 1 species